GAAGCUCCUGGCAUUUGUCUCCACUCCCAGGCGGAGGUGGCCCCCUGGCGUUGCUCUGGGGCGGUGGCAAUGGGGGGAUCUGUGCUCCUGCUCCUCUCCCUGGCUGCCCCAGUGCUGUGUGACCUCCCCCCAUUCCAGCUGGUGGAGUUUGGCCCAGCGACAGCGCAGCCCUCGGAGACGCUGCAAGUGAAUUGUGCUGUGUAUGGUGUCUACAUCACGGCUCCAGGAACCUACUGGUAUUGGCUCAAGCACAGUCCCCAGAAAGGGCUGGAGUGCUUGGGAUGGAUCGACUAUCAGGGCAAUGCACGCUAUGCCCCAUCAUUUCAGAGCCGAAUCGCAAUCACCAGGGACGUGUCCAAGAACCAGUUUUAUUUCCAGCUGAGGUCCCUGACAAGAGCCGACAGUGCCCGCUACCUCUGUGCCAGGCUACUGGGGCACCGUGAUGAGGAGCAAAGCAGGAGUGAGGCAAGAAGGCAUCUCCGGGAGGCACGAGGUGUUGCCCGGUGUCCCAGGAUGCACCCCGCCCCCGUUCUCGCCUGCCACACACACAAACCACGGUACAUGAGCGCCUCCUGCCGAGUUUUUCCUCUGCAACACACUGAACAGAGCGGAUGUUACAACGACUGAUGUGCACAACUGAAACAUCGCAGUGGUUAAUCGACGGACGCUUUCCCUGCUGAGUCGGAGGAACCGAAAGCCUUGUGGUUUGUGGGAAGGGCUCUACCCAAACCACCAACUCGGCGUGGGAAAAUGCGCUCUAGGCAAGUCACAGGUGUGUGGCCAGCCCAGACAAACAUCAACUGCCCUGGGAAGGCUGGGAGUAACGGGGGGUGGAGGGGAAUGCAGUUAGAGGCCACAAAAUCCACAGAGCUUUCUCUUGUCACUGGAAGAGAUUUAAAGGCAGUUAGGAGGGAGGGAGAGUGAGAGCUGUCAAUUCUCAGUUUUGUCUCCUCAAUUUAUGAAAAAGUCAAAACAGAAAUAAAUCCACAUUGUGGAAAUAAAA